AUAGCUGGUUCUCCCCGAAAGCUAUUUAGGUAGCGCCUCGUGAAUUCAUCUCCGGGGGUAGAGCACUGUUUCGGCAAGGGGGUCAUCCCGACUUACCAACCCGAUGCAAACUGCGAAUACCGGAGAAUGUUAUCACGGGAGGCACACGGCGGGUGCUAACGUCCGUCGUGAAGAGGGAAACAACCCAGACCGCCAGCUAAGGUCCCAAAGUCAUGGUUAAGUGGGAAACGAUGUGGGAAGGCCCAGACAGCCAGGAUGUUGGCUUAGAAGCAGCCAUCAUUUAAAGAAAGCGUAAUAGCUCACUGGUCGAGUCGGCCUGCGCGGAAGAUGUAACGGGGCUAAACCAUGCACCGAAGCUGCGGCAGCGACGCUGAUGCGUUGUUGGGUAGGGGAGCGUUCUGUAAGCCUGCGAAGGUGUGCUGUGAGGCAUGCUGGAGGUAUCAGAAGUGCGAAUGCUGACAUAAGUAACGAUAAAGCGGGUGAAAAGCCCGCUCGCCGGAAGACCAAGGGUUCCUGUCCAACGUUAAUCGGGGCAGGGUGAGUCGACCCCUAAGGCGAGGCCGAAAGGCGUAGUCGAUGGGAAACAGGUUAAUAUUCCUGUACUUGGUGUUACUGCGAAGGGGGGACGGAGAAGGCUAUGUUGGCCGGGCGACGGUUGUCCCGGUUUAAGCGUGUAGGCUGGUUUUCCAGGCAAAUCCGGAAAAUCAAGGCUGAGGCGUGAUGACGAGGCACUACGGUGCUGAAGCAACAAAUGCCCUGCUUCCAGGAAAAGCCUCUAAGCAUCAGGUAACAUCAAAUCGUACCCCAAACCGACACAGGUGGUCAGGUAGAGAAUACCAAGGCGCUUGAGAGAACUCGGGUGAAGGAACUAGGCAAAAUGGUGCCGUAACUUCGGGAGAAGGCACGCUGAUAUGUAGGUGAAGUCCCUUGCGGAUGGAGCUGAAAUCAGUCGAAGAUACCAGCUGGCUGCAACUGUUUAUUAAAAACACAGCACUGUGCAAACACGAA
rnacentral:rRNA from 1 species